rnacentral:rRNA from 1 species
UACGAAGGGGGCGAGCGUUUUUCGGAUUUACUGGGCGUAAAGGGCGCGCAGGCGGCUAUUUUUGUCAGGCGUGAAAGCCCCGGGCUUAACCUGGGAACAGCGCUUGAGACGGGAUGGCUAGAGAUCGGGAGAGGAGAGUGGAAUUCCCAGUGUAGAGGUGAAAUGCGUAGAUAUUGGGAAGAACACCGGUGGCGAAGGCGGCUCUCUGGACCGAUACUGACGCUGGGGCGCGAAGGCUAGGGGAGCGACCCGG